rnacentral:sRNA from 1 species
UCCGGGAGCGCGACGGAGACGAUGCCUGAGAUCAGAGUCACGCCCUUGGGGGCCGGCCAGGACGUGGGCCGAAGCUGCAUCCUGGUCUCCAUUGCGGGCAAGAAUGUCAUGCUGGACUGUGGAAUGCACAUGGGCUUCAAUGACGACCGACGCUUCCCUGACUUCUCCUACAUCACCCAGAAUGGCCGCCUGACAGACUUCCUGGACUGCGUGAUCAUUAGCCACUUCCACCUGGACCACUGCGGGGCACUCCCCUACUUCAGCGAGAUGGUGGGCUACGACGGGCCCAUCUACAUGACCCACCCCACCCAGGCCAUCUGCCCCAUCUUGCUGGAGGACUACCGCAAGAUCGCCGUGGACAAGAAGGGCGAGGCCAACUUCUUCACCUCCCAGAUGAUCAAAGACUGCAUGAAGAAGGUGGUGGCUGUCCACCUCCACCAGACGGUCCAGGUAGACGAUGAGCUGGAGAUCAAGGCCUACUAUGCAGGCCAUGUGCUGGGGGCAGCCAUGUUCCAGAUUAAAGUGGGCUCAGAGUCUGUGGUCUACACGGGUGAUUAUAACAUGACCCCAGACCGACACUUGGGAGCUGCCUGGAUUGACAAGUGCCGCCCCAACCUGCUCAUCACAGAGUCCACGUAUGCCACGACCAUCCGUGACUCCAAGCGCUGCCGGGAGCGAGACUUCCUGAAGAAAGUCCACGAGACCGUGGAGCGUGGUGGGAAGGUAGCUGCAGCAGGGGUGGGAACACGGGCCCUCAGCCAUGCUGGGCAGGUCCUUCCAGCAGGCUUGGCUGCCCUUGGCGUGGGUCGGGGUCUCAGGGCGGGGGGUACUGCAUUUUCAGGCAGGGAGGGAGGAAGAUUUGCUCAGCAUUGAGGAGGAAAACUCAGAGACCCUUUCCUAGGGAGCCCCUUUUCCUCUCCUACCUCAGAUUCUGACGAAGCCCUGGCCAGGCCCCAUGCAGCUCCUUUCUGUUUCUGGAGAGUGGCUGGGACAGGACUGGAAGCAGAUGAGAGAGGCUAAGGUCCCUAUGAGGACGCAGCUCUUGGGCACCUGGCUGUGCCCUCACUGGACGCUGCCUGCUG